rnacentral:rRNA from 1 species
GAUGAACGCUGGCGGCGUGCCUAAUACAUGCAAGUCGAGCGAAUGGAUUAAGAGCUUGCUCUUAUGAAGUUAGCGGCGGACGGGUGAGUAACACGUGGGUAACCCGCCCAUAAGACUGGGAUAACUCCGGGAAACCGGGGCUAAUACCGGAUAACAUUUUGAACCGCAUGGUUCGAAAUUGAAAGGCGGCUUCGGCUGUCACUUAUGGAUGGACCCGCGUCGCAUUAGCUAGUUGGUGAGGUAACGGCUCACCAAGGCAACGAUGCGUAGCCGACCUGAGAGGGUUAUCGGCCACGCUGGGACUGAGACACGGCCCAGACUCCGACGGGAGGCAGCAGUAGGGAAUCUUCCGCAAUGGACGAAAGUCUGACGGAGCAACGCCGCGUGAGUGAUGAAGGCUUUCGGGUCGUAAAACUCUGUUGUUAGGGAAGAACAAGUGCUAGUUGAAUAAGCUGACACCUUGACGGUACCUAACCAGAAAGCCACGGCUAACUACGUGCCAGCCGCCGCAGUAA